UAGAACGAUGUAAACAUGGCCGCUUCCAGUGCCCGCCGCGCUUCACGCUGGCUGUCAACCGGUUUACUUGGACACCGCGGUAGCUGUGCACUCUUAAAUUCCUCUAGACACGGAGAUAUUUUGUCUUUGACGACAAGGGGGACUCGCAGUUAUGUAACGGGUGUAAUUUAAGCUGCUGGAGGCAUGGAGGAGGUGUGACAUUGAAGGGGGUGUCAAGUGAGCCGCUUACGUACGAGCAAAAUGGAUGCAAUGAACUACAGAAUUAUUUUGCUUUGACAUAUCAGGAAAAGGGAAUACGUGGCAUUGUUAUAGAUGGAGGGUUUUAUCCAUUUAUGUCACUGAAAUAAAAAAUAAAAUUAAAAAAAUCUUCCACCUGUAACGCCCCCUCUUAAUAAACCUUUCAUAGGUAUUGUGACGUUAGUUGUGAAAAGCGACAGUAGCAAAAUAGCGUUCUCAAAACUGGCAACCGUCAUUUUAUUUGUCUGUUUAAUGGGCUAGCUCUUCCAAAAACGAAAGUUCUCUCAUUAUUCUCACCCUCAUGCCAUCCCCGAUGUAUAUGACUUACUUUUUUGCUAAACACAAAGAUUUUUAGAAGAACAUCUCAGCUCUGUAGGUCCAUACAAUGCAAGUCAGCAGGGUCUAAAUCGUUGAAGCACCUUUAAAUUGUUUGAAGGACAUCAAACAGACAACAUCUGAUGCCAGAUGUCUCUUCAUACUUGAUGGAGCUUCAUGGUUUGUGCAUUUGUAUGUUUUAGAGUAGAUUUUUCAGCUGUCAAUUAUUCCAUACCAGUUCUGUGUGCCUUCAGCAGGACUUCUAUGAGGUUUUGGGGGUUCCUCCUACAGCCACUCAGAAAGAGAUUAAGAAAGCAUACUACCAGUUGGCCAAGAAAUACCAUCCAGACAACCCCCAAGCAAAAGAGAAGUUUGCCAAACUGGCCGAAGCAUAUGAGGUCCAGAGGUGUCCAGUAUUUCGUCAUGAUGGGUCUGAUAUCCAUUCUGUGUGAUGAUUUCAGUAGCACAAGCGAUACUGGGGGGAAAAAUCAGAGCACAGGGCCUGUACAGCACCAUCGACAUUGCGAUUCCUCCAGGCAUUCAGACAGACCAGAAGAUAAAACUGGCAGGAAAAGGCAUCCUACGCAUGAAUAGCUUUGGUUACGGAGACCAUUACAUAUCAAAAUCAAACUUCCCAAGAAGCUGACAAACUCUUAAGUUAUGCAGAAGAUGAGACCGAUGUGGAGGGGACUGUUAAUGGAGUUACCAAACCAGCCAAAGGUAAAAGAUCUUCAAGGCACUGAACAGUUGGGUUGUACUUAUCUUCACACUUGCUUGAAGGUUCGUCUUUCGGUCAAAGAAGGAUAUGGAGCAAGAAAGAAACAAAGACUCGGCAGAGCAGCAGAUGAUAUUUCCAAUCUCCCAUCUGCUUAUACAGAUAAAUUGUGAAGGCAAAUGAGAAUUGAACUGAUUCUGUUUUGUUUUUUAUAUAUAUAGGACCCUCCACCAAUACUCAACCGGAUGAUGCCACACACCUAGCCUCAUUGUGCUGAAUGUGUGCUGUUCAUUGUAUAGUGUUGUUUCUGAGGAGAAUGUCUGAAUAAAUGUUCAGAACUUUAUAAA